rnacentral:sRNA from 1 species
UUUUUCUGCAACAAACAAAAAGAAACGAGAGUGGCGAGAAACAAAUAACCAGAACAUGAUACCUCUAAGGCCAUAUCGAUGACACCUCUCCAUGGGUGUAUCCAAUGAUUGUAAUUUAUUAGAUCUAUGCGAACUGUCAUUCAAAGAUGGGGUGAUAUCCAGUCAUUCCGAAAUGAGAUUCGCAAGAGGCAGGACGAUGCGAUUGAAGGAACAAGAAUUGCUGUGGAACGGUGGAUGAGAUGAUGCUGGCCUACCUGCAGAACCGGUGUACCAUUUUGAUCUGGUCCAAAGACGUACAUAUGCUGCUUUGACUGGAUUUAUCCUUGAUGGACUGCGAUUUCAAUCAAAUAUAGAUAAUUCAGACACAACAACAAAACAAACAUAAUAAACCAAAAUUGAAGUUAAAAACAUGAACGCGUGCCCAAAAAAACACGAAGAUUUCACCAAAUUUAAACACGAGGACGGCGAAGAUCAGGUUCGAUGCCUAAAGGUAAUACCGCACCGAGGCAGAAGCAACAAGGGCAUUAUCAGUAUCAGGUGUAGCAGGCGACCGCCAUGCGGAGGGUGGAGGGGCGGAGAGAAUCCUCAGUGAGUUUUGAUCGCCUCUUUAAGGACCUUUCGAUCAUUACUUAAAUGUACUUUCUGCAAGGCAAAAGCACUAUUAUUCCUAUUGUGUGCAUAUAUCCUCUUUGCUUGUACGAGGGUAUGUGGGUCAGGCCAUAUGCACAAUAAAAAAAGAGAUGAAAAGGCGCAUGGGGUGCAAGAAGGAUGCAUGUCCUGGCUCAGAGCCCCGAUACGCAGCGUGUGUGCUCUUUUGACUUUUGAUUAAAUUCGCACGCGCCAAAAACCCGAAAAAAAAACAAAAUACAUGCAUGGUCAUGUGGAAGUUUUCCAAAAAAUGAACAAAUAUGAACUGAAAAUUCCCCAAAGGGGGGGUCCCGACUAUGGAUAUACCCUCUCUUGGGCCUGACACAUAAAGAAGGUCUUUUCUCUUCCGUGGAUACGCCACACAAAUCAUAAUGAAGUGUUCUCUAGUCUUAGGGAAGUACAUUUUAAUUAUUUUGUUUUUUUUGCUUUUUAAUAUUGUUAUUUAUUUCGUUGAAAUUCCUAUAAAUAAGUAUUUACCUUUGUACAGGAUUAAAAAACAGAUCUAAAAUAUUUGUUUCUGCAAUAUCUGAAGAAUUAAAAAUCUAUCUAAGACAUAUUAUGUUGAGGGCACUUUCAAUGGUAGUACCUAAUAUUAUAAUAUAACAAAAAUUAAAAUGGUUUAAAAAUCAAAUAUUCUAUCUAGUGCAGCUACAAAAAUUCAAAAUUCCUUUGUACUCCUCUUUCUGUAUGAGGUACAACCAAAAUAUUCAAAAAUUGAACUCUUUUUCGGUAUCUUUUUUUGAAAAGCAAACCAAAAAAAAAGUGUGUAGACAAAUUGCUUUCAAAGCCUUUAAGGCAUGUUGCUGGGUAUGUGCCGGGUAUGGGUUGGUCGGACCGGAGAGGUUGAUCCACACCAAUUUAAAUGCGCGCCCAAACUGUGCAACGAAAUUUCAAAUUUCCCAUUUGCAUAAAAGUCACACCAACAUAAAAAACAAAACAAACAUAAACUAAAAUGAUAAUAAUAAAGAACAAAUUCCCUUACUCUACUUUUUGUCUUAACUUUUUUUUUGUUGCUAAUGCAAAUUCGUGUCUAGUUUUGUUUUUGACUGUGGUCGGAAUUUUUCGUGGUGCGGUUAAGUAGUGCAGGAAUGCAGAAAUUGAACGCCGGACUGUUGCAUGGAAAGGACUUUCCAACAUCAUAAUAAUGUGAAUUAUUCAUUCGUUUAUGUUUUUGGUUUAUGUUUUUAAUUAAAUUUGUUGUUCGCGGCCACGAAAAAGGGACCAUAAGCUUUUAUUCCCCAGCUAACCAUUAUUUUCUCUGUGAUUUUGUUCAUCAAUUAUGACAGUUGUUUAACAUUUCAUUUUGUCUAGUUUAGGGGCUUAUGAGAGUACUCUUUCAUAUGCUUGUAUGAGCGAUUGCUACGACUCAUUUGCUUGGAAUACUAUUGAGGGUGUCGAAGGAAGGAGGACUUUGAUUCAAAAGAUUCAAGCAUCCUUGCAUGGGUUACCUAUAAUUUCGAUGCUAUAAAUAUAAGGAUUUUGCUCAAUUUCCAACCCAUUGUCAGGUAUCGCCUUCAAUUUGCGGUUCGCCUCUACUGCUGCUACUGUGUAUCUGAUAAUAUGGAAAUUUCCGCGUUCAGUCUUCUCCACUGUUCAUUUUCCUUGGCAUCUAUACACAUCUUUCCAUCUUUGGCUUUGGACGGACGUGCCGGUUCCUGUCGCAGUCCAUCAACCCAUCGUCCCAUCGUCGCCUCCUACUUUGUAGUGCCUUUGGGACUUUUUUUAUAAACAAAUAGGGAGUAACACUUUCUCUGGCCCAGCGUGAUAUUGCUUCUACAUUGCUAUGCUAUGCCCGCUCACAAUGACACGACUCGACGCGAGUCGAGUCAAGGCAGGCGAUGCACACAGGAUGCCAGCACACGCACAAGCACACACACUAGUGAACAAGUGGGAAUGGAAUGACUUAGCGCCGACUAUGGGAUACCUACUGUCGGUCCACUUUUCUAUACCGAUCUGCCUGUUCUUGGUACAAGCGUUAAGGAUAUAAGCAAAGGCGUUCCUAGGUCCCUCUUGCUUUUGGGGUCUCCUAGAUCUUCUACCUCUACAAUAAACGGAUGUACCCUCACAGCCGCUAUAGCAAU